AUGUCCAAAUACCAUGGACAAUUGUAUGCUUGUAUUUCCAAAAAAAUGGGUCGGGCGGCUAAAAUCUGACCCGGUUCUAACUAAUAACCAAAACAAAACAAGGCAACUAUCACCAAACCCACCUGGACCGUUGCCCACGCUCUUUUUUCCUUUCCUGGACAACAAAUCACCUGACGAAGAAAAGGAACAAAAAUCAGCAGAAUACUGGGUCUCCCAGGACCCUCCUUUAACUUGCAUCACACAAGUCAUCUGGGAGGCGCCAUGGGAUAGGGGAAAUGAGGAGAAGAAAGAGUAGAAAAACAUCAGAGAGACGUCAUGGGAGAGAGGGAGUGAGAAGAAGGAAGAACAAAAACAAGUCAGAGAGGCACAUCAGAGGGGCAAGUACCUGGAGAGAAGCAAGGGGGGAGAACAGAUCCGAAUAAUUGGUGGAGGACAGAGGAAGAUCAUCCAAGAGACGGUCCACAGCUCAUGUAAUGUCCUACUCCUUUUGAUCACACUUCUAUUGAACUCUUCCAUGUUUUUCCUCACCCCGCUGCUCUACAUACACCUCCUACAUGAACUAGCCUGUAGAAAAAAAACAUCAUACAAUCUAGUGAAAUUUUUGGAAUCAUCAGGGGGAAAAUUCUAACUGUCGGAAGGUAAAACUGUUAAUAUUUCACUGUCAAAACACUACACCAACACGAAUUCCAGUGUAAGGUACACAUGAAAAAAACUUUGCUGCAGUAUAGGGCAAUGUAGGUAGCAUGAACCAUGGGGAAAUUACAUGAAAAAAACUUUGCUGUAGUACACAUGAAAAAAUCUUUGCUGCGAUACAGGGCAAUGUAACUAACAUGAACUCAGUGGAUUACAGAGAUACAUGCAAGUUCAGACGAAGUCAUGAAUACAAAGACAUACCUAUCAGCAUAAAGAACACAAGUCCUAUCAGAUGAAGGCAUUAAUAUUGACAAUGAAAAGCAGAGCUUGUUACAGUGCUCGUACACAUAGACAGUGAAGGAAAUGAAUAAUCACACUAGUGGAUUACAAUGAUAAUAACCAGGGAACUACACAGGAUAAUCGCACUAAACAGAGUUAAAAUCCACUGUAAUUCAAGCAAAGCUGAACAAGAAUGAAGCUCAAAUAUCAAGUAAUAGAGGUUCAGCAGGAAAAUUACACUACUUUGUUUAGAAAAAAAAAUGAAAUUUACACUGAAGUUCUAGGAAAAAUUACACUGCAAUUCGGGGAAUAAUUACACUAUAAUUACAUAAAUAAAGCAUGACGUUUAAACUGUAAUUAUGGGGAAAAUUACACUGUAAUUACAUAAAUGAAGCAUGGAGUUUACACUGUAAUUCUAGGAAAAUUACACUGUAAUUAAAAAAUGAAGCAUUGGGAUUACACUAAAAUCUGGGCUAAAUUACACUGCAAUUCUAGGGUAUAUUACACUGCAAUUACAAAAAGGAAGCAUGGGGAUUGCAAUGAAAUUCUUGAAAAAUAGCUUUAUCAAACCCUCUAUCAUCACUAGAAAGAUCCUGAAAAAUAAUUCAGUCAACAAACAAAUUUUUUUAAUAAACUGAAAGAAAGAAUAAAAACGAAAAUGAAAGUAGAGAACAAGACAGAAAUAACUACCAAAGACAUAGCAUUAGAACCAUCUUCCGCAAAGUCAUUAGGCACAAAAGGAUCAUUCCAAGAAUCAGCACUCACGAUAGAAAAAACUACCGAAACAUCCUUGUGAGAGACUUUCCGUAGUCUCCCCAUUGACCUAAACCUAACAAAACAGAAUACAUGACACACGAAAAAAAAAGAAAUUAAAGAAAGUUGAAAAUUAUAGAGUAAUGGGGCUCAAUUACAAGGGAAAUCUCACAACAAAUACACUGAAAGGCAGCAAUCAGGGGAAUCAUAGAAUAAUGGGGCAUAUUAAUACAGUGCAAGAAUCACUUAAAAUACAGUGUAAAAACCAACCUAAAUACAGUGAAACUCUGAGUCAAAAUACACAAUAAUUAGGGCAACUUACAAUGAAAAGGUAGAGGAAGUACACUGCCAAAAACUGAAGAUAAAUUAUAUAGUAAGAAUGGGGGAUAUUACAGUGCAAAACCACAUGAAUGCAUGCAAAACAUCGGAGAAAAAUUACAAUGUAAAUAACAAAGAAACUGGCGCAGUAUUACACUGAAAAAUAUACACUGCAAUUUACACUGAAAGAAGCAUGAGAAUUACACUGUAACAGGGGGAAAUAUUACACAGUAACUCUAGGGAAAAUUACACAGUAAUUACAAAAUAAAGAAGCACGAAAAAAACAAUGUAAUUACGGUAUAUUACACUGUAAUUGCAGGCUAACCUACAGUGUGAUUCUACGACACAUGAGAAUUACACUGUAAUGGGGGAAAUUAUUACACAGUAAUUCUAGGACAAAUUACACAGUAAUUACAAAUAAAGAAGCACAAAAAAAACGGUAAUCACGGUAUAUUGCACUGUAAUUGCAGGGUAACCUACAGUGUAAUUCUACGACAUGUUACACAGUAAUUAUAGCAAAAUUUACACUGAAGAAAGAAGCAUCAGGAUUACACUGUAAUUAGGGGGGAAAUACACAGUACUACUAGGACAAAUUACAGAGUAACAACAAAUAAAGAAGCAUCAGGAUACACUGUAAAUGCACUGCAAUUAUGGGGCAAGUUACACUGUAAUUAUGAGUUAAAUCACACAGUAAUUCUGGAUGGGGAUACACUGUAAUUCUAGGGGUAAGUUACACUUCAAGUCUGGAGUAAAAAUACACCGUAAAGAAGCAUGAAAUUCAGAGAGAUUCCUGGACUAACACUACAACAACACUGCAGCCUAGUACACACAAAUUCAGAGAGAUUCAGGUACCGGGUGAAAUGAACACCUACAUCUAACAAAAAAAAUCAUACUGAAUUCCAGGGACUACAACAGCAAACAUCAGCAGCUAACAGCAACUAUAAGUAAACUGCAGAAGCAGGCAGAAACCCAUGCUAGACCAUCUGCAACUACAUCUAACGACAAAGGAACAGACACCCAGGCCACCAGAAAUAAAAUUGAUAGGGCGAAUCCACCGCUGCAACUAUAACUUCACCUACCUCUACAUCUACAUCAGAAUAAAC
rnacentral:lncRNA from 1 species